UUCCUGCAUGGAAGUGUCAUCAGAAGGAAAGUUUACUGCCACAAAGCACGGAGUCUGUAAAAUAAUAUCUAGAUAAACUGAAGGAGAAUCAAGUGAUAAAGUAUAGAAGGUGGUGUAUUAGGGGUUAAAAGAAGAAAUGAGAAGAUGUUUCCUCUUGGGUAUCUGGUUUCCUCCUCUGGUCCAAAGACAGGUCCCUUAGGCAGAUUGUCAUCUCUAAAUUGUCUGCAGAGAGUGAGUGUGAGUGUGAGUGUGUGUGUGUGUGUGUGAUUUAAUGCAGGGGAAAAAAAUCAACAAAUAUUAACAAUUCAACAAAAAUGAGGCUGAGCCAAAGGGUCAGAAACCGAAGCAGAAAAGAUAUAAAGGACAAAAACCCUAAACGUGUCUUCAUGUAGAAUACUGACAACACGAUCCUUCAGGUUUAAUACAUUUUUUAUGUGACUGAGACAAUUAAAAGAAGGAGGAGGAGGAGGAGGAGGAGGAAGCAGAAGUAGAAAAUUAAAAGGAGGAGGAAAUAGAUGAAGGAGGAAGGUUCUCUCAGUGUUUCAGACCAGGUCCUCUGUAGAUCUACACAGGUUCGAUUACACAUUUAAACCCACGUGUCACACUGAGCUCAGCUUCAUCACUCACAUUAAAGGGACUUACAUCAACAUUACAUGGUCUAUUUCUACCUAGUUCAAAAUGCAGCUUAAGACAAAGUGUCUUCAAGCUGAGGAGAUCUUCUGCUGCUGCUGCUGCUGCUGCUGAUCCACCGAUUACAAGAUAAAUGCAUUUAAAGUGUUGAAGACAUCCUGCCUUGAUGCCCAAAGACGCCCGAGAUAGGCACAGGCUCCACGUGACCCGAGGUAGUUCGGAUAAGCGGUAGAAAAUGAGUGAGUGAGUGAGUGAGUGUUGAAGACUUUAGGAGAGUUUGGAGUUCUGCUUUUAUUCACUGCAGCCUUCUGAAAGCAUCUGAUCCGUGUGGGUAUAGAAUCUACAGGAGGUCACAUGAGAGAGCUGCAGAUCUUGGCUUUGCUGCUUAGUUUCACACUUGGUUUAUUUCUCGAUGACUCAGAAGCGCCGCUCUGCAUGAGGAAGCGGUCGACUCGCCGGCACGGACGGCUGAUGAGACACCAGGAAAUAUAGAAGUGAAGAAAAAAGAAGAACAGAAGACUCGACGUGCGGGUUGUUUAGAUUACAGAGAGGAAACGAAUAGAGUAGACGCGACAGCGACAACUACAGACGAUCAUGCAAACUCGGACUCGCUAAGGUUGUAAAACGAACACCUUCGUUUCUAUGGCGAUGGCGGACAUCCGAUUGGACGACGUGUUCACGAAAGGAGUCUCCGGCGUCAGCAAGCGAAUAAACACAACAUUAUUGUUAAAUGGUUCCUGGAUGAUCCAGACAGCAGCAAGAUGGAAAGAAAAAAAAAAAACUCUCCUAAAGCUUCUUCAUUAAUGACCCUGUAAAUGACUCCAUUAAAAUCUACUUCACAUCAAACACCCUGGAGGCUGAACUCAAUCCAUCCUUACGUUCAUGGAACCUGACUUUCCAGGAACUGUUUAGAAAAGUCUCUCUGAUUGGAUGUCGUGGUGGAGAAAGAAAAAUGAUUCUGUGCAGCUUUCCUUUAACCGAGCGAGCGGACACAUUGGUCCAGCUCUCGUUCCCACAGGACUUCGCGUCUUCACAGAUCGUACGACUAUAACGGCAUGCGUCAUCCUGCUACGAAUCAUCUCACAGCCGCGGAAAGAUCAAAUAUCAUCUGAGCCAUGAGCGAUAAACCUUUUUUAUAACGGCUUCAUUUACAGACAAAAAGACCGGCUGGCUUUUUUGUUUGUUUGUUUUUUAUCAUUUCCUUGCUAUAAUUUUUGUUGUUUUUAAAACAACACUGAUAAUAUAUUAUAUGAGCUAAAUAUAAUAAUAAUUUCAAUAAUAUUCCCAUAAAGCCUAUGUAUGUUAAAUAUGUGUAUGUUAAACAAUUUUAAUAUUUACAUUGAAAAUGAUAUGAAAUUCUGACAAAUUUUGAAAUUUGAAAAACAAUUCACAUAAAGAAUAGUUUAAAUGUUUACAUACUUAUUUGUAAUUUUUAUUUUGCAGGACUAUUAAAUAUAUAUAUAUUGCAUUAUUCAAUAGUUCUUUUUAUUUUUUUUUAGAAAACUGUUAUUUUUUUAUUUUUUAUGACAAAUUUCAUUGUGUUUGAGGGGAGACUGUUAAUGUUUAAUAUUAAUUUUCUAUUUUAUUUUAUACAUUUUUGAUGUUUAUUGCUCUUUAUUUGUUUUGUGGGGAUUAUAUAUUGGAAUAGUUUUCUAUAUUAUAUAUUAUAAUUUUACACAUAUUCUACUUUGCAUUAUAUAAUGAUUGUGCAUUAUUUUUAAUAUAUAUUUUCUAUUCCUAUAAUGAAUUUAUUCAUAUUUUGGCGGUAGAUGAAUUUGUCAUUUUUUUAACUACUGGGGUUGACUUUUGUUUUGAAAUCGUUUACCACAUCUGAAUCAUUUACGGCACUAUAAACAUUUCUUUAAAUAAAUUAUGCUUGUUAUUAAAAAUAAGCUCUAUGUUGAGAUAAUAAAUGAUGGAGUAUGAACUCA